GCCUGAAAUCCUAGAUCUAUAAUCUACAGCCACCUCCCUACCGAUUCCCGUCGACCGCACGGCGGGAAGGCCGCCGCCUCCGAGCGCAGCCCAAAGCCCCCUCUUCUCUCCAUACUCCGGCGACAACAGCGGCUCCUUGCCGCCGCCGUGCCCUAGCUUCAAUCCGCCGCUGAACUCCCUCUUCCGGCCGCACCACCUGUCCGACCACCACAGCACCAGCCCAGCCGCCUUCGACGCAGCGCAACACCACCGCGACCCACUCCAGAACCGCUGCCCCCCACCAUCUCCCGGCAUCUACACAAGGCGGCUUCGUGCGCCACCCAUCGUUCCUAUCAUGAACGCCGAGGAAGAGCCACCAGUCGGCGCGAUUUACACCAUACCAGCAGCGCCAAACACCUCCUGCCACCGUCUC
rnacentral:lncRNA from 1 species